GGUGCUUUGGCUCAGUUGGUUAAAGUGCCUGUUUGGUAAACAGGAGAUGAUCCUGGGUUCAAAUCCCAGCGGCACCU